AUUGAACGCUGGCGGCAUGCUUUACACAUACAAGUCGAACGGCAGCACGGACUUCGGUCUGGUGGCGAGUGGCGAACGGGUGAGUAAUACAUCGGAACGUACCGCGUAGUGGGGGACAACAAGUCGAAAGAUUUGCUAAUACCGCAUACACUCUGAGGAGAAAAGCAGGGGAACUUCGGGCCUUGUGCUAUGCGAGCGGCCGAUGGCUGAUUAGCUAGUUGGUGGGGUAAAGGCCUACCAAGGCAACGAGCAGUAGCGGGUCUUAGAGGACGAUCCGCCACACUGGAACUGAGACACGGUCCAGACUCCUACGGGAGGCAGCAGUGGGGAAUCUUGGACAAUGGGCGCAAGCCUGAUCCAGCAAUGCCGCGUGCGUGAAGAAGGCCUUCGGGUUGUAAAGCGCUUUUGUCAGGGAGCAAAGACUGAUGGCUAAUAUCCAUCGGAGUUGAGAGUACCUGAAGAAUAAGGACCGGCUAACUACGUGCCAGCCGCCGCCGUAAUAC
rnacentral:rRNA from 1 species